rnacentral:lncRNA from 1 species
CCGCUGGCCCUGCUCAGCAGCGAGCGCUCGGCCCCCUCCCACCGCCCUCGGGGGCCUUGGCAGUGGGCUGUGCUGUCCUCGGGGCGGGUUCUCUUCGCCGGACUUUCCAUGACCUGGGGCGGGCUGGGAGCGCCAGGCAGGGGUCAGACGGGCGGUUUGGAGCCCGGUGGGCCUCACGCAGGCGCCUGCCCUUUGAGCCUCUGGUCCGCUGUCCGUCUGCAGCUCACUUUGGGUGCUCAGCUGGGACCCCCGAGACACCCGGGUGGGUCACGGGCGCCCCCCUGCACGCCCCCGUUCCCUGUGUCCCGUGGAGCUGCAGCCCACUGUCCACUUCCACCAUCGGGCCGUGGCCUCCGUGGGCUCCCAGGGGGCCUCCCUCCUUCCAUGUCCUCCAGCUCGGCCAGUGGAGGUGUCCAGGGGGCGUCUGAGCACAUGCGGUGCCCACAGUUCAGACGCCUUCUGGGCAUCGUGAUGCAGCCAGGGAAGACUGUCACCACGGAGACGAGCAGGCUACACACCACACCCGAACAGACACUGUGCACAGCUCUGCCGGCUCCUGCCACUCCUCUGAAGGGCCCCUUCAUCUUUCCAAAGGUCGCUUGUUUUCCUAUAAGUGCCCUUCUCCCUUCCCCUGUCAACUCCCCCUAAGAUGGCAGAUAAGCCCCAAAUUCUAACCACUGCUUUGAGUCACAUUUCUCUGUGAACUCCCAAGUACAUACAUACGUGAAUAAAAAUCUGUCUUUUCUCUCGCUAA